AACGAACGCUGGCGGCAGGCUUAACACAUGCAAGUCGAACACAUCCUUCGGGGUGAGUGGCAGACGGGUGAGUAACGCGUGGGAACGUGCCCUUCAGCUCGGGAUAACCCAGGGAAACUUGGGCUAAUACCGGAUACGUGCGAGAGCAGAAAGAUUUAUCGCUGAAGGAUCGGCCCGCGUCUGAUUAGCUAGUUGGUGGGGUAAUGGCCCACCAAGGCGACGAUCAGUAGCUGGUCUGAGAGGAUGAUCAGCCACAUUGGGACUGAGACACGGCCCAAACUCCUACGGGAGGCAGCAGUGGGGAAUAUUGGACAAUGGGCGCAAGCCUGAUCCAGCCAUGCCGCGUGAGUGAUGAAGGCCUUAGGGUUGUAAAGCUCUUUCGUCCGGGACGAUAAUGACGGUACCGGAAGAAGAAGCCCCGGCUAACUUCAUGCCAGCCGCCGCGGUAA
rnacentral:rRNA from 1 species